CGGGGUAUGUCAGUGGUAAGAUUCGACUGCAGAUCGAGAGGUCCCCGGUUCAAAACCCGGUGCCCCCU